UCAAAGGCAAUUAUUUUUGCUUGGGUUUGUUUAUUUUUUUCUUCUUCUCUUAACUUUCUUUUCCUUCCUUUCAAACCCUAGCCGCCGCCCUUGGUGAUUCCUUGCUUCGUUCGGCGAUGUAACGGCCGAUGUUUCCCUCUCGUUCCUUCUAUUCUUUUCUUCCUUCCUCCUUUUCUUCUUUUCCUUUUCUCUUCUCUUUCCCAUUUCUCUCCUUCCCUUUCCUCUCUUUUCUUUCUCUUCUAUUUCUCUUCUCGGUAACCCCAAGGUUGAAAGCGCCGCCACUGCGCUCGUCCUUGGCUCUUCUCCGCCCUCGGUGGCCCACGAAGAAGGCCAAAAUUUCUUACUAAUUUUAUUUUUUUGCUGCUGUUUUUUUACUGUGUUUUUCUUAUUUUUUUUUGGUUGCUUGUUGCUUGUUGUGUUUGAUUUGUUGUAGAUGCUGGCGGUGGAGCAACACUGGUGGUGGCGCGGCGGUCUUGGUGGCGGUGGGGGGCGAAAGGAUGUUCUCUUUUUUUUUUGCUCUCUGUUUUUUGUUUUCUUUUUUUGGCUUCCAAAAAUCCUUCCUCCCCUUUCUCUUCAAUUUUUCUUUUUAAUCCCUCAAAAUUGUCUUCUUCCUCUUUGUUUUUAGGUGACAGGGGAAGGAAAUCAUGGCCUAGGGAGCUGCCGGAGUAGCUGGAAGUGGCAGGAGCAUGCUUGGAUGCCGAUUGGGUGAUUUGACAAGUCUAAAAGGACCAAAAUGUAGAAGACACAAAAUAUUUGGGGUAAAAAUGUAAUUUUGGGAAAAUAUAGGGCUGAGAUGUAAUUUUUAGAAAGUUUAGAGGUCAAAGUGUAAUUUUAAGAAAGUUUAGGGGUUGAAAUGUAAUUUUAGAAAAGUUUGGGGUCAAAAUGUAAAUUUUAAAAAGUAUAGGGGUUAAAACAUAAUAUUUAUUUUUUGCAUUUUUUUCAAAUUUUAUUAUUACUAUUUUAUUAAUAUUUAAAACAAAAAUUAAAAAUGGGCAAAAACAAGUCCAAAAUUAAAUCCCAACGGGCCCAAUCGUUGGGCCCAUAUGAGACCAGCCUCGCCCAAAACCCUACCCGGGCAAAAUUCAGUGAUUACAGCUGCCCCUCUUUGCUCAUCACUGUGAAACAGGGAUGGAGCAAAGACUUAAAAGCACUGAAUUUUGUUCGAUUGUCCAAAAAUUUUUUGUCUAUAUUUUCUAAAAGCCUGAAAUUGAAAAUAGCUUGGUAUGCGAUUCGAAGUUCAACUCACUUCUCGGAUUAUGAGUUGAGCCUUGAAAAAUAGAAAUUGAAAAAUACCUCGACGUGUGUCGCGAGGCUCAACUCCCUCUCGCAAUAUGAGUUGAUUUUUAACAACAAAACAGAAAUGUAAAAGAAGUAUCUCGGUAUGUGACCCGAGGCUUAACUCACCUCUCGCAAUAUGAGUUGGUUUGUGAAAAACAGAAAUUUAAAAGAAAUACCUCAGCAUGUGACCCGAGGCUCAACUCACUUCUCGCAAUAUGAGUUGGUUUGUGAAAAACAGAAAUUUAAAAGAAAUACCUCAGCAUGUGACCCGAGGCUCAACUCACUUCUCGCAAUAUGAGUUGAUUUUAAAAAACAAAACAAAAAUGUAAAAGAAGUACCUCGGUAUGUGACCCGAGGCUCAACUCACCUCUCGCAAUAUGAGUUGAUUUGUGAAAAAUAGAAAUUUAAAAGAAAUACCUCAACAUGUGACCCGAUGCUCAACUCACUUCUCGCAAUAUGAGUUGAUUUUAAAAAAAAACAGAAAUUAAAAAUACCUCAGCGUGACCCGAGGCUCAACUCACCUUUCGUAUUAUGAGUUGAUUUUUAAAAAAAAAGACAGAAAUUAAAAACACCUCAGCAUGACCCGAGGCUUCAACUCACCUCUCGAAUUAUGAGUUUAUUUUUAAAAAAGACAGAAAUUAAAAAUACCUCAGCGUGACUCGAGGCUCAACUCACCUCUCGUAUUAUGAGUUGAUUUAUGAAAAACAGAAAUUUAAAAGAAAUACCUCAGCAUGUGACCCGAGGCUCAACUCACUUCUCACAAUAUGAGUUGAUUUAAAAAAAAUAGAAAUUAAAAAUACCUCAGCUUGACCCAAGGCUCAAAUCACCUCUCGUAUUAUGAGUUGAUUUUUUUUAAAAAAGAUAAAAAUUAAAAAUACCUCAGCGUGACCCGAGGCUUCAACUCACCUAUCGUAUUAUGAGUUGAUUUUUAAAAAAGACAGAAAUUAAAAAUACCUAAGCGUGACCCGAGGCUCAACUCACCUCUCGUAUUAUGAGUUGAUUUAUGAAAAACAGAAAUUUAAAAGAAAUACCUCAGCAUGUGACCCGAUGCUGAACUCACUUCUCGCAAUAUGAGUUGAUUUAAAAAAAACAAAAAUUAAAAAUACCUCAGCGUGACCCGAGGCUCAACUCACAUCUCGUAUUAUGAGUUGAUUUUUAAAAAACAGACAGAAAUUAAAAAUACCUCAGCGUGACCCGAGGCUUCAACUCACCUCUCGUAUUAUGAGUUGAUUUUUAAAAAAAGACAGAAAUUAAAAAUACCUCAGCGUGACCCGAGGCUCAACUCACCUCUCGUAUUAUGAGUUGAUUUUUGAAAAAACAGAAAUUAAAAAAUACCUCAGCGUGACCCGAGGCUCAACUCACCUAUCGUAUUAUGAGUUGAUUUUUGAAAAACAAAAAUUAAAAAAAUAUAAUUCUUGAAAGAAACAGGGUUUCAAAAACAUCAGGUGAAACUAAAAGCCUUCUUCUUCAUUAAUUCUGUGCAGCUUUCUCCCAAAAUUACUCGCUCUAUUGGUAUACCUGUAUAUGUCAUGUAUGAUGUUAUUAUGAUAUGCACAUGUUUGCUCUAAAUGCUUUUAUGCCUACAUAAUCAUGCCAUGCACCCUGGGCCGCUUGUCACAUGCCCCCUUUUUCAUGAGGGAGUGCAUUCAUUGCCUCAAUCUUUAACUUUCUCUCAGGUUUUGUGCUCAUCUCCAAGGUUUACGAGCAAUCCACAGUUCUUCGUAUAUCACUCUCUUGUCCCCUUGUUGAACUUUGUUCUUGCUUCAGGGUCCUUGUAUUUAUCAAAUUCUCAUUCAGGUAAUGCUCAACAUUCCUUUUGUUUAGAGUAUGUCAUCUUACUAUUUAUCAUUUAAAUUAAUCAAACACGAGAUGUAUGAAAAACGGCACAGUAGGCAUGAAAGAAAUACCUCACAUUCAAUUUUUUUCAAAAGCAACAAACAAAGAAAAAUUACAAGGAAUAGUUCAAAUAAAGAAAACAUCAUAAAGAAAGGGAAGCGAAUUCAAAAGCCGGAAAUGCUCUAGAUAUCCAAUUCAUGAACUUCUCCACGUUUCCUCGUCCUGGAUCCUUUCAAGCACAAUUUCUGUGUAGAAGAUUUCGAGCUUCUGAGAAUGUUUCAAAUAUAGCGACUUCAUCAUUCAACUCCCCGUUCAAGUCACCUUGCUCCUUUAAGCUCGAGCUUGUUUCAUUAGGACGCCCUAUCGGGUUUUCAUCCUAAUCUUUUUGUUUAUCAAGACGCCCUUUUCAGGUUUUCAUCUGGAUUCUUUUUUUCUUUUCUUUUGUUUUUUUUUGUUUUUGUUUUUUUUUGUUUUUAGGCAUAAUAUUUCUUCACAGCAUCAGAGUUUACUGGAUUAGGUAAUUCUUUCCCAUCCAUCUCAGUGAGAAUCAGAGCCCCUCCUGAGAAUGCCUUUUUUACAACGUAUGGCCCUUCCCAAUUUGGUGACCAUUUUCCUCGAAAGUCCUUCUGUAUCGGGAGAAUUUUUCUCAGUACGAGCUCUCCUUCGCGAAAUUCUCUUGGUCGCACCUUUUUAUCAUGAGCCGUGAUCAUUCUCUUCUGGUACAUUUGUCCAUGACAAAUUGCCUUCAAGCGUUUUCCCUCAAUAAGAUUUAGCUGAUCAUACCGAGCUCGAACCCACUCUGAUUCUUCUAACUUUGUCUGCAUCAAAACGCGCAGGGAUGAGAUCUCUACUUCGAUAAGCAGAACGACCUCCAUCUCGUAGACUAGAGAAAAAGAAGUUGCCCCUGUAGACGUCCGUACAUAGGUGCGAUAUGCGUACAAAGAGAAUGGUAGCUUCUCGUGUCAGUCUUUAUAUGUCUCAGUCAUCUUCCCGAUAAUCCUCUUUAUAUUCUUAUUAGCAGCUUCUACCGCUCCGUUCAUCUUCGGGCGAUAGGGUGAAGAAUUAUGAUGCUUUAUCUGAAAUUGCUCACAUACUUCUUUCAUCAUCUUGUUGUUCAAAUUUAAAGCAUUAUCUGAAAUGAUUCUCUCAGGCAAACCAUAUCAACAUAUGAUCUCCUUUUUUAAGAACCUACAGACUGUAGCCUUUGUCACAUUAGCAAGCGAAGUGGCUUCUACCCAUUUUGUGAAGUAGUCUAUAACCACAAAGAUGAAUCGAUGUCCAUUGGAAGCUUUCGGGGAAAUUGGCCCUAUAACAUCCAUGCCCCACAUAGAAAAAGGCCACGGAGAAGUCAUGACAUGAAGGGGCGAUGGAGUUGCAUGAAUUUUAUUGCCAUAAAUUUGACAUUUGUGGCACUUUCGUGCGUAGCCAAUACAAUCCCUUUACAUCGUCAGCCAAAAAUAACCAAGUCUCAUAAUCUGCCUAGCCAUAGUAAACCCAUUGGCAUGCGUUCCACAAAUUCCUUCGUGGACAUCUUCAAGUAUUCUUCUGGCUUCAAUAGCGUCAACGCAUUUCAAUAGCAUUUGGUCCUUUCCUCUUUUAUAAAGGAUUACUCCGUUAAGAACAAAUCCAAUUGUCAUUCUCCUGAGAGUUCUUUUGUCAUUCUCGUUUGCUUGCUCGGGAUACCUUUGAUUCUUUAUAUACUCCAAGAUAUCAUGGAACCAUGGUCGUCCAUCUGACUCCUCCUCAAUACUAAAACAGUGUGCGGGGGUCUCAUAUAUGCUCAUUUGGAUAGGCAUUAUUUCAGUUUCUCUGUUUGCUUUGAACAUUGAAGCCAGGGUGGCCAGGGCGUCAGCCAAUUGGUUCUCUUCUCGUGGAAAGUAGUUAAAAGUCAUUUCUUUAAAUUCUUUGACCAAUUCUACAACGAGAUCGCGAUAUUUGACUAAUUUCGAAUCCCUCACUUCCCAAUCUCCACGAAUUUGAUAAAUGACUAAUGCUGAGUUCCCGUGUACCUCUAAAAUUUUAAUUUUCCUCUUGAUAGCUGCACGAAGUCCCAUGAUACAAGCUUCGUACUCUGCUAUAUUAUUGGUACAGAAGAAAUUCAAUCUGGCAGUGAGUGCGUAAUGAUCUCCUUCCGACGACACUAAGACUGUUCCGAUCCUAUGCCCCAAUGCAUUCAAUGCGCCAUCGAAUCUCAUUUUCCAUGAUUUCUUUUUUGAUGACUCCUCUUUUCCUGAAAUGCACAUCAAGUCUUCAUCUGGGAAAUCAAAUCUCAAUGGCUCGUAUUCUUUCACUGUUCGACUUGCCAAGAAGUCAGCUAUCGCGCUUCCCUUUAUUGAUUUUUGGCUCACAUACACGAUGUCAUACUCAGUCAGUAAGAUUUGCCAUCGUGCCAUUCUUCCUGAGAGUGCAGGUGACUCCAUCAUGUACUUUAUUGGGUCCAGUUUUGAAAUUAACCAUGUCGUGUGAUACAACAUGUAUUGCCUGAGCCUUCGAACCGUCCAAAUCAAUGCACAACAAAACUUCUCAAUUGAAGGGUACUUUGCCUCAUAUUCUGUGAACUUCUUGCUGAGGUAGUAAAUUGCAUUUUCUCUUCUCCCUGACUCAUCAUGUUGCCCCAGUACGCAACCCAUUGAGUUCUCAAACACGGUCAGGUACAAUAUUAAGGGUUCUCCAAGGGUUGGCAGUACUAGCACAAGAGGAUUAGACAAAUACCGUUUUAUCUUAUCGAAGGCCACUUGGCACACCUCGUUCCAUUUUUCUGGGUUAUGUUUUUGAAGGAGUCGAAAAAUUGGGUCGCACUGAUUGGUAAGUUGAGCAAUGAAUCGAGCAAUGUAAUUCAACCUUCUUAAAAAUCCUCUGACUUCUUUCUGUGUGCGCGGGGGAGGAAAUUCUUAUAUAGCUUUUAUCUUGUCUGGAUCAACCUCGAUGCCUCUCUCACUGACAAUGAAACCUAGUAGUUUUCCCUAGGUAGCCCCAAACGUACACUUGGCCUGGUUAAGCUUCAACUGGAACUUUCUUAGCCUUUUGAACAGCUUCUUGAGAUUUCCAACAUGCUCUUUUUCUUCCCGAGAUUUGGCAAUCAUAUCAUCGACAUAAACUUCUAUCUCUUUGUGUAUCAUACCAUGGAACAACGUCACCAUGGCUCUCUGAUAUGUUGCCCCAGCAUUCUUUAGUCCGAAUGACAUUACCUUAUAACAGAAAGUUCCUCACAUUUUUAUGAAUGUAGUUUUCUCCAUGUCUUCGGGAGCCAUCUUUAUCUGAUUAUAACCUGAGAAGCCAUCCAUGAAAGAAAACAGAGAAUGCUUUGCCGUAUUAUCCACCAAAGUUUCGAUGUGUGGCAAAGGAAAGUUAUCCUUAGGGCUUGCUUGAUUCAGAUCACGAUAAUCCACGCACAUUCGCACCUUGCCAUCUUUCUUCGGCACUAAGACUAUAUUAGCUACCCAUUCUGGAUACUUGGAGACUUGUAGGAAGCCUGCAUCAAAUUGUUUCUUGACUUCUUCUUUUAUUUUCAACAGUAUUUCGGGUCUCAUCCUUCUUAACUUCUGUUGAACAGGUUUGCAUUCUGGUUUCAGUGGGAGCUUAUGGACCACAAUAUCUGUGUUCAACCCUGGCAUAUCCUGAUAAGACCAAGCAAACACAUCCUUGUACUCAUGGAGCAAGGCGAUCAAAUCCCGCCUGGUGUUUUCUGAAAUGGAAGUCUCAAUCUUCACUUCUUGUUUCUUUUCUUCAUUCCCCAAGUUCACUACUUCAAUAGAUUCUUGAUGGGGUAGGAUCUGAUUCUCUUCUUGUUCUACCAUUCUCAGUAAAUCAGGAGACGAGACACAAUCUUCAACAUUUUCUUCAGCUUCGAAUUCUCCUAAACAAACAGUUUUCUCAAAAUUGAUUUCAGGGUUCAUAACGGGAUUAUUCAUGCUGUUGAUAUCUGAGCACUUGAAAGGGGAAUGGAAAAGGCUAUAGAAGAGCAUUGAGGUAUUGGAAUUAACACACAAUGAUAUGAGAUGAUAUGAGACAUAUGCCGGAAAUGAUAUCAAUAGAAGGAGUAGUCGCGAAGUUAAUAGAAAUGAAAAGAACAUGACAAUAUAAAACAAAAUGCAUCUUCAUUAAUGUUCAUUGAAAUCAUAAAGAGCAAACAUAAGCUCUUACAAAAGGAACCCUACUGUUUAAGGAUACACAAAAUGAAGGGUUAACAUUGGGCAUUACUCUGAAGGGGACUUAAAAACUACAAUGAGGUCCACAGCAGUCCAGUUGUUCAAAGCAAAUCCAGGAGGACAAGAGCGUAUCAUUGAAGCCUUCUUAAUUUCAUCAUUCUCAUUGUCAAUAGCAUUUAGGCUGAUAUUCUGAAGACCCUUUUCAAUUAAUAAUGUGAUUUGUGGAUUGUCCUGCCCUGGGUACAUCACUCCUGCUGAUGUAAAUGUUCUUGACAAAGGAGGAUACGCCGAUGGUUCCCAUUCUAAUUCCCGGCCUGAAGCUCUCGCGAUUCUUCUUUCUCUAUCUUUUUGCAAUUGUUUUCUCAUUUGAUGUAUAUCUGGCUUGAACCCCAAACCGUAUCGACCCUUGUGGUGCGUUGGUUUCAAAGCUAUAACCAUCCCUUGUUGAUAUUUUCCCAAGCCUUUCCUCGCUCGAACUCUUUUUCCCACAGUCAGCUUAAUUCCCAUCUUGGUAUUCCUCGACAGUUUGGGAAUGGGGAUCUUAUUCCCUUCGGCAACAAAUACAGUAUUAAUAAAUUCCAACGAUCAAAAAGAACAUUCUAUAGCAUCUUCGCUUAUUUCGAUGUAGGGUGUAUCAGUAGAGAUAGAUGCAACGAUGUCUUUCUCACCAGUGACAGUAAUCAAACGGCCAUCCAUGAUGAACUUUAAUUUUUGAUGGAGAGAUGAAGGAACUGCCCCAGCAGAAUGGAUCCAAGGUCUUCCUAAGAGGCAAUUGUAUGAAGGCGUAAUGUCCAUGACCUGAAACUCGAUAUCAUAUACACAUGGCCCCACUUUUAAAGGAAUUUUGAUCUUUCUCAUGACCUCUCGUCGCGUCCCAUCAAAUGCCCUUUCUACAGAAUGACAAUGCCUCAAAUAGAACAUAUCAACCGGCAUCCUAGAAAGCGCGGCCAAAGGCAUAACAUUGAGUGCAGAUCCAUUGUCGAUGAGCACAUUUGGUACUCUGUAGCCCUUGCAAUUGGUUGUGAUGUGCAAUGCUUUAAUAGAGCCCCUACCAUUUGGUGGUAUUUUGUCAUCACUAAAAGAGAUGAAAUUAUCUGCAUUCAGAUUAUUUGCCCACCUAUCAAGCUUUUCCACAGAUACAUUGUUCGCCACAUAAGCUUGAUUUAACACUUUUAGCAAGGCAUUUCGAUGCGGCUCCGAGUUCAACAAUAGAGACAGUACUGAGAUUCGAGCCGGCUGUUUGUUUAAUUGUUCUACAACGCUAUAUUCACUAUGCUUAAUAAACUUUAAGAACUCAUGUGCUUCCUCCUAAUUCACAGCCUUUUUAACUUCUUCCUCAAGCUGGGUUUCAACAUCAUCCUCAACCUCAUACAUUGGUGCUUUUCCUUUCUGGCUCGGGCCAGCAACUUUCUUCUUUGGUUCAAUCAUAUCGGGAGAAUAACAUCUUCCACUACGAGUAAAGUGUCCUACUCCGCUAACACAUUCACUCACAACCUUGGACUUUUCACCCUCAGGUACAACGAUAUUGACAUCAUAAUUCCACGGCACUGUCUUAUUGUCCUUGUAAGGGAAAGGAGCAGUUACUUCGAUUAUCAAACUUAGUUUAACUUUUCGGCUAACUUCUCCCUUCUUUGCCUCGUAAUAAAUCAUCAAAGGUCUAUCAACGCUAUAAGGGGAAACCAUCGAUUGAUUAUCAGAGGCACAUAUUUCCCCUUCCUCGGCCCCUUCCACCCUAUCAAAGACUUUGACCUCCUUGUUAUCCAUCAUAUCCUGAAGUAAUUUUCUAAAUUCUUUGCAAGAUUGGAUGUCAUGCCCUUCGAUGCCAUGGAAAUCACAAAAACCUUGGUCUUUUGUACUUUCUUCUUUGAGAAUUCUACCAGACGGGCAAAGCAAGUCAUUUUCAACCAUCAUCUCCCAUACCUUCCGUAAAGGUGUCCUUACUUCAGCAACAUAACCUUUGGCUCGCCAACCGUCUUCAUUUGCCGCUGCAUUUACAUUCCCACUAAUAUGGUUAGGAAGAGGAUUUCCAGUCACAUUGUUAACACCAUCGAAUCGCAGAAUACCAGCAUCAAUAAGACCUUGAACCCUCUUUUUAAAAGCAAGGCAAUUUUCUGUAGAGUGUCCCUGAUUCCCAGCGUGAUACAUACAACUAGCAUUAGGAUCAUACCACUUCAAGUAUGGAGGCUUUAGGGGUGCCAUGUAAUGUGGGGAUAUUAAUUGUUUUUCCAACAGCUUUGGGUAUAAUUCCCCAUAUGAUACAGGAAUUGGUGUGAACUGAGGUCUUUCAAGAUUGGGUUUCGCUGGUCUUUGUUCAAUUUUGGGUUGGCUUUGUGUAGGCAUGGUGUUUGGUGGGAACACAGUGAAUGGUCUUUGGUUAUUCAUGGCAUACACGGGGUAAGAGGGAGGUGUUUGAUAGUAAGGACCUUGAGGAGGAAAGUAGAAGUUUAAAGGUGGACGAUAACGAGGUCGUAAUUGGGUGGGAUACGGAUUGGGGGUGCAUUGACUCUCGGUUCUAACCAUAUGGGCUUUUGCCUCCUUUUUCUUUGCGGGUACUGCCCUCGUCGAGCUCUCGGGGCCUUCCAUUCUCCCAUUCUUGACAGCGUUUUCAAUAAGCUCCCCGGAUAUUACAAUAUCCGCAAAGUAUUUUGUGACGCUUCCUACCAAUUUAUCAUAAAAUGACGCUUUCAGAGUAUUGAUGAAAAGGACCGUUAUCUCUGUCUUAGUUAACGGGGGCUCUACCUGAGCAGAGAUAUCCCUCCAUCUUUGUGCAUAUUACCGAAAAGUCUCUGUAGGUUUCUUUUCCAUCAUUUGUAAAGUUAGUCGAUCAGGCACCAUAUCUGAUACGUGCCUAUAUUGCUCACAGAAUGCUGAUGCCAAAUCCUUCUAUAAUCGGAUUCUCUCUCUACUGAGCUGAUUAUACCAUCCAAGAGCUGAGCCAACCAAACUAUCUUGAAAGCAAUGUACCAACAAUUUAUCAUCAUUUACAUAACCAGUCAUCUUUCGGCAAAACAUGAUCAGAUGCGCCUUUGGACAUCUUGUUCUGUCAUACUUCUCAAAAUUAGGUGCCUUAAAUUUUGGGGGUAGGACCAGAUCAGGUACCAAACUGAGUUCUUUUGCACUCAAAGCAGAGAAAACUUCGGCACCCUCUUCCACCUUGAUCUUCUCUUCCAGGAUCCUAUACUUAUCCUGAACGUUAUUGUCAUCAAUUCUCAGUCUUGCUACUUCUACAGGAUCAUCUAGGUCUGGAACAAUUGGAUCUGAAGGAUUAGCCCCAGGGUUCGAUACAAACAUUCCUUGUCCUAAAUGAGCAGAUGGAGUAGGAUGUUGUUCCAGGCCUGUAGGUUCUCUUUGGGGGUAUCCUCUUUGCAUUGCAUGGACAUGAGGUGGAGUAAAUCCCGGGGGAUAAAGUGGAUCUUGAUUAGCUCUUGACUGAGGCUGUUCUACGAUAUCAGGGCUCUGCAUAGGUCCCUUUCCUUUGACCAAGGCCGUCAUCAUUUCCAUCAUUUUGGCCAUUUGAUCCCUUUGCUCGAGCGAUUCCUCUCGAGAUCUCACCAUCAAAUCUCUCGCCUCUUGCUGCGACUUGGCCAGUUACUCCUGCAACUCGCUUUGGGUUCUUUCCAUCCUUUCCAUCUUUUCAUUGAGUUCGGCAUCCAUAGCUCUAGCUCUUAAGCGCGUCCUAUAAGAAUGACGUGAUUCCAGACUCGUAGUGUAGUAACUUUGGAUUAGAUGGUUUUAACCUUAGCGAAUGAUUAGGGUGAUAUGAGCAUGCAAUGAAUAAAUGAAUGAGUAACUAAUGAAUGUUAAUCAUGCGUAAAUAUGCAAAGAUAGGUUUUGAUUCCAAAAUGGCCCCAUACUUGGGUGUUUCAUUUAUCAAAAGAGUCUGUUACAAAAAGUUUUGCCAUAUUAGUUUUAACUGUUACACAAACUUUUUAGCCACAUCGCCUUGUUUCUUUAUACGUUCCAGGAAGUCCAAUAUGCUUGAUCUUUGACUAGGAGGGUAUUGGCAACUGAGAACUUCCGCUUCAUCUGAUAAUUGUACUACAUGCGCAGCCGCCUUACGAAUUUCAUUGAUCAAACUGCCGAGAUGCAUAUCAUUUUCUUGGAGGGCUUUUUCAUAGGCGCGAAUGUCUCUAUCAUACUGACCAUUCUUCUCUUCUAAAGCUCUCAGGAGGUCAUCCAAAUGUUGCUGAUGAGAUUGCAGUGUACUCUCUAGACUUCGAAUUUUUCCUUUUAGCUCUUGAUGCUCAGACUGACUAGCUGUUAGUUCUGCAGACACAGUUUCGUAUUCAACAUUCUUCUUCCUCAACUCUAACAUAGCACGUGCAGCUCUUUCCUCUUCUUUCUUCGCUUUGGCUUUCCAGAAUUCCAUCCCACCUUUGAUAUUACUUAGUUCCUCCUUCCAUUCUACUGAUGGUUUUCCCAAUCCACUAUUUCUUAUAGUGCCUCUUAAUUUCUUAUUUUUUAAAUGAAGGUCCCUUAAAUCUUUUCUUGUAACUUCAACUUCUUUUUGGACUUUCUCGGUUCUAGAUUUUUUUAAUUUCGACAUCAAUCUUCAGCUGGUAGUUUUCCUCCUGGAGAGAACUAAUAUCUCAUAACAGUUUGGCUUUUUCACGUUCAAAUUCAUGUCUUGCAAUUUCUAGCUUGGAUGGUACUUCCUCUAAGAACAGGUUCUGGUGAGCGACGUCAAUCAACGGGUUUAAUUGACUCUUUACUCUUCGUUGCCUCCAUAUGUCAUAAUCUACAGUGACAGUAUCAGCAUAGAGAGCUAGUUCUAUUAGGUAGAUUUUCCUCCAAGAAUUCACAGUAUCUCGCACUUUUUUCAUGUAACCCUCACCCAUAAAGGCAAACUCUGAUUGUGCCAAUCCAUCAGUAACUGGUACAAACUGUCGCGAAGCGAACUGUCUCUGAACCAUCAAUGGAACAUAUCCAACUCCUCCCCAUAAUCCUAACAAAGGCACCCAGUCUUGGUUCUCACACUUGUAUAACAAGACAGAGGGACGAAUCCAAGGUGCUCUCCAAGUUAUAUCUUCAGUACGGAGGUUCUGAAAAAUCAAGACCCAGUGUUGUUCAAUGACAUCCUUCGGCCAAUCCUUUUCAAGGUGUGCUUCUAACGGAGCAAAUAUUUUUAGAACAUAUGGAAAGGUGUGCGCUCCACUUUCCAAAAAUGGCUAAAAAUCCAAACAUUAAGUAACUGAGCGCAUCUGAUAAAACGUCCUUCCCCUUUUUUCCUAUAAGCAUUUAGGGAUCUAAAAGUCUCGGCCGAUAUGGUUGGGACGGGGUUGAUUCCUUGCCUUAACUUUUCAAAGAAAUCUACUACCGCGACUUCAAUGUGCCUGAGAACCUUUGGGAAGAUGGCUAGUCCGUAAAUGGCCAAAGCAAACAGAUCUAUCCUUCUCAAAGUAUCUAGAUGAUUCUGAACUAACUCCCGAAGAGAAAACCACGGAACACAACUGACUUCAUUCUUCUUCUUUAUUUGUUUUUCAGCCCAUGUAUCAGUCAUCCCCGUCAACUUCAUUAGCUUUUUCUUGAAGGUCAUUGGUUUAGGCUCAUUCACAUAUAUCUUGUUGAAUUGUACAUUGUCGAUGCGAAGCAAAGCGGCAUACUCUUCUAUGGUCGGAGUCAUGUCUUCCUGAUUGAAAGUGAAACACUGAUAGGUUGGGUCCCAGAAUCGAACCAUGGCUUGAAUCAACUGCUCGUUCACACUGAUUGCUAUCAAGUGAGUUAUAUCUCCAUAUUUUUCAGUGAAGAUGGCUUUAGUAUCUAAGUCCCACUGUUUCCAAAUAUUUUUCAAGUCUUCGAGAUCGUUCUGACGAGCAUUCAAAGUCACACACUCGGGAAGAUUAGAGGUGUAUCCUUCCUUUAAACUGUCCCCUUUCACUUUUUGAGUCCUCAAAGACCAAUCUCGGACUACAGCAUUCUUUUCGGUAACUUGUGUAAUUGACUCCUCCAUCAGAAACCCAUUUUUGGCAACCAAUCUCUAAUCAACACCUUCAUAAUGAGAUGUCUACGAUGCAUGAUGAAAAAUAAAAUGAAGAACAAAUAACCUUGGUUAGAGAUCACAACAGAUAUAAACAGAAGAAAGAAGAAAAAUAAAGACUAUGGAGAAUUUAACGAAUUAAGCUAUUCAAUCAUGCAAUUUGGAAGGACAAACCCGCUUUUUUUUGCCCUAACAUGCUUUACAAAAACCUACCCCACAUACCAUCAGACAAUCUAUCCGACCCAAUUUAUUAAACAGACUCAAUUCAUUGGCAAAUAAAUGUAAAUGUAAAAGAAAUAAAAGGUAAGAGGCAUUUCUCCCGUGUACUUAUUUUGGUGACUGUUCAACGGACGGAGGUUCGGCAUGGCUCUAAUUGGGUGGCUCGUACAGUUCACUAUAUGUGAUUUCGAUUCUAGAAAGGUACUCAAAUUGCCCGUACUGUCACCUACUAAGGUUAGUACGGAGCCUCGGUCAUCACCCAUCACAGGCUUACGAGCUCAAUUCGAGAGAUUACAUUUACUUAUGCCUAUGCAGAGGGACGAGUUAACUCACGAAAGCAUAAGUCAUAUGUAACCCGGAAGUAUUUCACUAGCCUGUAUGGAGGGACGAGUUAACUCACAAAGGCGUAGCGUUUACUUCCACUUAAACGGACGGAGCCCGGGUAGAGAGCUCAUGUUAUGCAAGAAUGCAAGUGCACAGUGUGUGGGGAGAAACUUACAAACCUUUUAAAUUUUUUUAUUUUUACUAAAAACCAAACUAAAAAACGUAAAACUUAGAGCUGAAAAUAGAAAAAAAAAACAAGUUAGAAAAAUAUAAAUUUAAAAAUCGAAUGCUGAUACAUGACUUUUCAAAAAUAAAAUUCAGGGAUCACGAUUAAAAAUUAAUUUGAACAGAGAAUUUUAAAAAUUUUGACAACACGCGUUUAACAUUAGACUCGACUCUCAAACACGUCCCCAGUGGAGUCGCCAUCUGUAGCGACCUAAAAAAUUUUGGGCACGAGCGCUAAUUGAAGUGAUUAUUGAAAAUUUGAAAGCAGAGUUUCAAUUUAUUUAAAAAGGGAGUCGCCACCGAUCUUUUUUCUAGGUGUGAUCAGACACCUAAUAAAUUCUUUUUUUUAAAGAAAAUUAUAUUUCAAUUUUUCUAAAAAAGAGUCGAUUUUAGGUCCACGUCAAAAUCCAGAGAAAAUUAGGGUUCGGGAGUCGGUUACGCGCGAGGAAGGUAUUAGCACCCUCGCGACAUCCAAAAUUGGUAUCUCGUUAAACGCAUGUUGUCUUAAUUUUCAAAAAUACGAGUUCCAUUUAAUAUUUAGUCGUGAUCCGAUUGAAAUACGAGAACCUUUUUUUUUUAAAACACGAGAUUUUGAAGCACGAAAAUUUUUGAAAACACGAUAAUAAUUUUUUUAAAACGCGAGAAUUUUAGAAACACGAAUUUUUAAAAAAGAACACGAAAGUUUUUGAAAUGCGAGAAUAUUUUUGAAACACGAGAAAUUUUUUUGAAAACGCAAAAAAGUGAAAAAUUUUUGAAAUACGAGAAAUUUUUGAAAACACGAAUAUUAGAAACACAGGAUUUUUUGAAAACACGAGAAUUUUUUAAAAACAUGAAAAUUUUUGAAACACAAUUUUUUAAAAACACGAGAAUUUUUUGAAAACAUGAAGAUUUGUGAAACACGAGAAUUUUUUUUUGAAAACUAAUUUUUUUAAAAACUAGAAAUUUUUGAAACACGGGAAUUUUUUCUAAAAAACAUACCGUAUUUAACACGAAUUGACGAUAUUCACCUCGACAUGGCAAUGAAAUCGAAGAAUUAGUGUCAAACCGAUUGAAUUUAAUAUUUAGUCAUGAUCUAAUUAAAACACGGAUUUUUUUUAAAAACACGAGGAUUUUUGAAUAUUUUUGAUUUUUUUUCUUGAAUCUUAAAAAAGGCGUCCCGUAUUUAACACGAGCCAUCGAUAUUCACCCAACAUAGCGAUGAAAUCAACGACUUUAUGUUAAAUCGGUUCGUUACCUUAUGCAUUAAAAUUAUUUAAAAUUAAUAAAUAAAUAAAAUUAAAAACAUAAUACAAAAUAAAAUGUCGAAAAAAUGCCAAUGAUAUUAAAUACGAGACAAUAUUUAAAUAUUAAGACAAAAUUAAAAGAUUAAAAAUUUACCAAAAUCCCAAGGUUAUGGGCUUGAAUUUUGGGCCUUUCCCUUUUUUGCUGUUGGGCUGUACUGUUGGGCCUGAGUUACUGCUGCUAGGCCGGAUCCGGGUCGGGUCAGGCGGAUUGGCUCUGCUGACUAACCUGCUGCACUGCUGGGCUGCUGGGCAGACUGGGCCUGCUGGGCUGAUGGUGAACCUGGGCCUGCUGGCUGGCCUGUUAAGUGCAGGCCUGGUCUGCUGGCUGGCCUGUUGAGUGCAGGCCUGGUCUGCUUGUGUUGGGCUGCUAGAUAAGUGGGCCUGCUGGUGGUGAGCUGCUGGUGGCCUACCAAAGAAGUGGCCUGCUGUUUUUUUUUGUUUUUUUUCUUUUUUUUUCUCUCUUUUUUUUUCCUUUCUUCUUCUUCUCUUAACUUUCUUUUCCUUCCUUUCAAACCCUAGCCGCCGCCAUUGGUGAUUCCUUGCUCCGUUCGGCGGUGUAACGGCCGACGUUUCCCUCUCGUUCCUUCUAUUCUUUUCUUCCUUCCUCCUUUUCUUCUUUUCCUUUUCUCUUUUCUUUCCCCUUUCUCUCCUUCCCUUUCCUCUCUUUUCUUUCUCUUCUAUUUCUCUUCUCGACCACCUCAAGGUUGAAAGCGCCGCCGCUGCGCUCGUCCUUGGCUCUUCUCCGCCCUCGGUGGCCCACGAAGAAGGCCAAAAUUUCUUACUAAUUUUAUUUUUUUUGCUGCUGUUUUUUUACUGUGUUUUUCUUGUUUUUUUUUGGUUGCUUGUUACUUGUUGUGUUUGAUUUGUUGUAGAUGCUGUCGGUGGAGUAACACUGGUGGUGGCGCGGCGGUCUUGGUGGCGGUGGGGGGCGAAAGGAUGUUCUCUCUUUUUUUUUUUUGCUCUCUGUUUUCUGUUUUCUUUUUUUGGCUUCCAAAAAUCCUUCCUCCCCUUUCUCUUCAAUUUUUCUUUUUAAUCCCUCAAAAUUGUCUUCUUCAUCUUUGUUUUUAGGUGACAGGGGAAGGAAAUCAUGGCCUAGGGAGCUGCCGGAGUAGCUGGAAGUGGCAGGAGCAUGCUUGGAUGCCGAUUGGGUGAUUUGACAAGUCCAGAAGGACCAAAAUGUAGAAGACACAAAAUAUUUGGGGUAAAAAUGUAAUUUUGGGAAAUAUAGGGCCGAUAUGUAAUUUUUAUAAAGUUUAGGGGUCAAAGUGUAAUUUUAAGAAAGUUUAGGGGUUGAAAUGUAAUUUUAGAAAAUUUUGGGGUCAAAAUGUAAAUUUUUAAAAGUAUAGGAGUUAAAACGUAAUUUUUAUUUUUUGCAUUUUUUUCAAAUUUUAUUAUUACUAUUUUAUUAAUGUUUAAAACAAAAAUUAAAAAUGGGCAAAAAUAAGUCUGAAAUUAAAUUCCAACAGGCCCAAUCGUUAGGCCCAUAUGAGACCAGCCUGGCCCAAAACCCUACCCGGGCAAAAUUCAGUGAUUACAAACAUUUGUGAGUAUAAUUGUUUUAUAAUCACUACAAUUAAGUUAGAUUUAAAUCAUCUCUUGUAAAAUAAAGAUUAUAGUGAUUUAUCUUUUGAGAAUAUUUUGUAAGUAUAGAAUUAUGUUCAAACUGCGUAAAAAAUCUCAUAUAUUAUUAUUAUUUUA
rnacentral:lncRNA from 1 species